rnacentral:rRNA from 2 species
GGGGUGCCUUUACACAUGCAAGUCGAACGGCAGCGGGAAAGUAGCUUGCUACUUUUGCCGGCGAGUGGCGAACGGGUGAGUAAUGUAUCGGAACGUGCCCAGUAGCGGGGGAUAACUACGCGAAAGCGUGGCUAAUACCGCAUACGCCCUACGGGGGAAAGGGGGGGAUCUUAGGACCUCUCACUAUUGGAGCGGCCGAUAUCGGAUUAGCUAGUUGGUGGGGUAAAGGCCUACCAAGGCGACGAUCCGUAGCUGGUUUGAGAGGACGACCAGCCACACUGGGACUGAGACACGGCCCAGACUCCUACGGGAGGCAGCAGUGGGGAAUUUUGGACANUGGGGGAAACCCUGAUCCAGCCAUCCCGCGUGUACGAUUAAGGCCUUAGAGUUGUAAA